rnacentral:rRNA from 1 species
UUAAGUUAUUAAGGGCGCACGGUGGAUGCCUUGGCACUAGAAGCCGACGAAGGACGUUACUAACGACGAUAUGCUUUGGGUAGCUGUAAGUAAGCGUUGAUCCAGAGAUUUCCGAAUGGGGGAACCCAGCACGAGUUAUGUCGUGUUAUCGACAAGUGAAUUCAUAGCUUGUCAGAAGGCAGACCCGGAGAACUGAAACAUCUUAGUACCCGGAGGAAGAGAAAGAAAAAUCGAUUCCCUGAGUAGCGGCGAGCGAAACGGGAAGAGCCCAAACCAAUAAGCUUGCUUAUUGGGGUUGUAGGACACUCUAUACGGAGUUACAAAGGAAUAUAUUAGACGAAUCAUCUGGAAAGUUGAAUCAAAGAAGGUAAUAAUCCUGUAGUUGAAAAUAUAUUCUCUCUUGAGUGGAUCCUGAGUACGACGGAGCACGUGAAAUUCCGUCGGAAUCUGGGAGGACCAUCUCCUAAGGCUAAAUACUCUCUAGUGACCGAUAGUGAACCAGUACCGUGAGGGAAAGGUGAAAAGUACCCCGGAAGGGGAGUGAAAGAGAACUUGAAACCGUGUGCUUACAAGUAGUCAGAGCCCGUUAAUGGGUGAUGGCGUGCCUUUUGUAGAAUGAACCGGCGAGUUACGAUCUGAUGCAAGGUUAAGCAGGAAAUGUGGAGCCGUAGCGAAAGCGAGUCUGAAUAGGGCGUUGAGUAUUUGGUCGUAGACCCGAAACCAGGUGAUCUACCCAUGGUCAGGUUGAAGUUCAGGUAACACUGAAUGGAGGACCGAACCGACUUACGUUGAAAAGUGAGCGGAUGAACUGUGGGUAGCGGAGAAAUUCCAAUCGAACUUGGAGAUAGCUGGUUCUCUCCGAAAUAGCUUUAGGGCUAGCCUCAAGUGAUGAUUAUUGGAGGUAGAGCACUGUUUGGACGAGGGGCCCCUCUCGGGUUACCGAAUUCAGACAAACUCCGAAUGCCAAUUAAUUUAACUUGGGAGUCAGAACAUGGGUGAUAAGGUCCGUGUUCGAAAGGGAAACAGCCCAGACCACCAGCUAAGGUCCCAAAAUAUAUGUUAAGUGGAAAAGGAUGUGGCGUUGCCCAGACAACUAGGAUGUUGGCUUAGAAGCAGCCAUCAUUUAAAGAGUGCGUAAUAGCUCACUAGUCGAGUGACACUGCGCCGAAAAUGUACCGGGGCUAAACAUAUUACCGAAGCUGUGGAUUGUCCGUAGGACAAUGGUAGGAGAGCGUUCUAAGGGCGUUGAAGCAUGAUCGCAAGGACAUGUGGAGCGCUUAGAAGUGAGAAUGCCGGUGUGAGUAGCGAAAGACGGGUGAGAAUCCCGUCCACCGAUUGACUAAGGUUUCCAGAGGAAGGCUCGUCCGCUCUGGGUUAGUCGGGUCCUAAGCUGAGGCCGACAGGCGUAGGCGAUGGAUAACAGGUUGAUAUUCCUGUACCACCUAGCAUCGUUUUAAUCGAUGGGGGGACGCAGUAGGAUAGGCGAAGCGUACGAUUGGAUUGUACGUCCAAGCAGUGAGAUUGAGUGUUAGGCAAAUCCGGCACUCUUAAGAUUGAGCUGUGAUGGGGAGAGGAAAUUGUUUCCUCGAGUCGUUGAUUUCACACUGCCGAGAAAAGCCUCUAGAUAGAUAAUAGGUGCCCGUACCGCAAACCGACACAGGUAGUCAAGAUGAGAAUUCUAAGGUGAGCGAGCGAACUCUCGUUAAGGAACUCGGCAAAAUGACCCCGUAACUUCGGGAGAAGGGGUGCUCUUUAGGGUGCAAGCCCAGAAGAGCCGCAGUGAAUAGGCCCAAGCGACUGUUUAUCAAAAACACAGGUCUCUGCUAAACCGUAAGGUGAUGUAUAGGGGCUGACGCCUGCCCGGUGCUGGAAGGUUAAGAGGAGUAGUUAGCUUCUGCGAAGCUACGAAUCGAAGCCCCAGUAAACGGCGGCCGUAACUAUAACGGUCCUAAGGUAGCGAAAUUCCUUGUCGGGUAAGUUCCGACCCGCACGAAAGGCGUAACGAUUUGGGCACUGUCUCAACGAGAGACUCGGUGAAAUCAUAGUACCUGUGAAGAUGCAGGUUACCCGCGACAGGACGGAAAGACCCCGUGGAGCUUUACUGUAGCCUGAUAUUGAAAUUCGGCACAGCUUGUACAGGAUAGGUAGGAGCCUUUGAAACGUGAGCGCUAGCUUACGUGGAGGCGCUGGUGGGAUACUACCCUAGCUGUGUUGGCUUUCUAACCCGCACCACUUAUCGUGGUGGGAGACAGUGUCAGGCGGGCAGUUUGACUGGGGCGGUCGCCUCCUAAAAGGUAACGGAGGCGCUCAAAGGUUCCCUCAGAAUGGUUGGAAAUCAUUCAUAGAGUGUAAAGGCAUAAGGGAGCUUGACUGCGAGACCUACAAGUCGAGCAGGGUCGAAAGACGGACUUAGUGAUCCGGUGGUUCCGCAUGGAAGGGCCAUCGCUCAACGGAUAAAAGCUACCCCGGGGAUAACAGGCUUAUCUCCCCCAAGAGUUCACAUCGACGGGGAGGUUUGGCACCUCGAUGUCGGCUCAUCGCAUCCUGGGGCUGUAGUCGGUCCCAAGGGUUGGGCUGUUCGCCCAUUAAAGCGGUACGCGAGCUGGGUUCAGAACGUCGUGAGACAGUUCGGUCCCUAUCCGUCGUGGGCGUAGGAAAUUUGAGAGGAGCUGUCCUUAGUACGAGAGGACCGGGAUGGACAUACCUCUGGUGUACCAGUUGUCGUGCCAACGGCAUAGCUGGGUAGCUAUGUAUGGACGGGAUAAGUGCUGAAAGCAUCUAAGCAUGAAGCCCCCCUCAAGAUGAGAUUUCCCAACUUCGGUUAUAAGAUCCCUCAAAGAUGAUGAGGUUAAUAGGUUCGAGGUGGAAGCGUGGUGACACGUGGAGCUGACGAAUACUAAUCGAUCGAAGACUUAAUCAA